AGUGAACGCUGGCGGUAGGCCUAACACAUGCAAGUCGAACGGCAGCACAGUAAGAGCUUGCUCUUACGGGUGGCGAGUGGCGGACGGGUGAGGAAUACAUCGGAAUCUACUUUUUCGUGGGGGAUAACGUAGGGAAACUUACGCUAAUACCGCAUACGAUCUACGGGUGAAAGCAGGGGAUCUUCGGACCUUGCGCGAUUGAAUGAGCCGAUGUCGGAUUAGCUAGUUGGCGGGGUAAAGGCCCACCAAGGCGACGAUCCGUAGCUGGUCUGAGAGGAGGAUCAGCCACACUGGAACUGAGACACGGUCCAGACUCCUACGGGAGGCAGCAGUGGGGAAUAUUGGACAAUGGGCGCAAGCCUGAUCCGGCCAUACCGCGUGGGUGAAGAAGGCCUUCGGGUUGUAAAGCCCUUUUGUUGGGAAAGAAAAGCAGCAGGUUAAUACCCCGCUGUUCUGACGGUACCCAAAGAAUAAGCACCGGCUAACUUCGUG
rnacentral:rRNA from 1 species